rnacentral:rRNA from 1 species
GGGGAAUUUUCCGCAAUGGGCGAAAGCCUGACGGAGCAAUACCGCGUGAGGGAGGAAGGCUCUUGGGUUGUAAACCUCUUUUCUCAGGGAAUAAGUACUGAAGGUACCUGAGGAAUCAGCAUCGGCUAACUCCGUGCCAGCAGCCGCGGUAAUACGGAGGAUGCGAGCGUUAUCCGGAAUGAUUGGGCGUAAAGCGUCUGUAGGUGGCUUUUUAAGUCUGCCGUUAAAUCCCAGGGCUUAACCCUGGAUAAGCGGUGGAAACUACCAAGCUGGAGUACGGUAGGGGCAGAGGGAAUUUCCGGUGGAGCGGUGAAAUGCGUAGAGAUCGGAAAGAACACCAACGGCGAAGGCACUCUGCUGGGCCAAUACUGACACUAAGAGACGAAAGCUAGGGGAGCAAAUGGGAUUAGAUACCCCAGUAGUC